rnacentral:rRNA from 1 species
UACGUAGGGUGCAAGCGUUGUCCGGAAUUAUUGGGCGUAAAGAGCUCGUAGGCGGCUCGGUAAGUCGGAUGUGAAACCUCCAGGCUCAACCUGGAGACGCCAUCUGAUACUGCCGUGGCUUGAGUCCGGUAGAGGAGCAGGGAAUUCCUGGUGUAGCGGUGAAAUGCGCAGAUAUCAGGAGGAACACCAGCGGCGAAGGCGCUGCUCUGGGCCGGUACUGACGCUGAGGAGCGAAAGCGUGGGAGCGAACAGG